rfam:TPA: Bos taurus chromosome 28, whole genome shotgun sequence.
UCCCUGGUGGUCUAGUGGUUAGGAUUAAGCACUUUCACUGCCAUGGCCCAGGGUCAAUCCCUGGUUGGGGAA